rnacentral:rRNA from 1 species
GGGAAUUUUGCGCAAUGGGGGAAACCCUGACGCAGCAACGCCGCGUGGAGGAUGAAAUCCCCUGGGAUGUAAACUCCUUUCGAUCGGGAAGAUAAUGACGGUACCGAGAGAAGAAGCCCCGGCUAACUUCGUGCCAGCAGCCGCGGUAAUACGAGGGGGGCAAGCGUUGUUCGGAAUUAUUGGGCGUAAAGGGUGCGUAGGCGGUUUGAUAAGUCUGAUGUGAAAUCUCUGGGCUCAACCCAGAGUCUGCAUUAGAAACUGUCGGGCUUGAGUAUGGGAGAGGUGAGUGGAAUUUCCGGUGUAGCGGUGAAAUGCGUAGAUAUCGGAAGGAACACCUGUGGCGAAAGCGGCUCACUGGACCAUAACUGACGCUGAUGCACGAAAGCUAGGGGAGCAAAC